rnacentral:tRNA from 2 species
AGGCACAUAGUUAAGCUGGUAAAGCGCCUCCCUCAUAAAGAGGUCAAUCGGUAGUUCGAGUCUACCUGUGCCUA